GAAUGAUGCUGCAGUGAACAUGGGAGUACAGAUAUCUCUUUGAGGAACUGAAAGAAGGAUAUGCUGUCAAAUUGGUGGAGCGAUGUCAGUACAAUGUCAGAAUAGGAGUUCUCUCUGUCUGCCCUCACAGAACAUCUGAUUUGGCAGUCACCCAUGCACAAGGGUACCCAGGUGGGAGUCCGGGAGUCUAUUGAAGAAGUUCCAGUGUUCUGUUGGAGGAAAAAAAAAAUCCAAGAAGAGAUGCAUUGAAGAGGGCUUUAUAUAUAUCCACCUCCAAGGUCAAAGACAAGAAAUAGAAUAUUGCCAUGCCCAUGAAGUCUUAAUGCAAACAACCAAAUGGUUUAUGCAAUGACAAGAUGAAAAGUGAUUUAAUGCCAUUGUACUCAACAUUGAACUCAUGAACACGUAAGUGUAUUUAAGAGAUUGAUGUGAAGUUUUUACAGUAAGGUAUGUAUCAUUUAUUAGUUUUCUUGUUUUUAGUCAUUAAGAUAGAUUCCUUUGCAGCAUAUACAUUUUGCCAUAGCAUUAAUAGCUGCAUCAUUAAGGAUACAAUAAAUGAAUGCUUUUGAAG